rnacentral:rRNA from 1 species
GACGAACGCUGGCGGCGUGCUUAACACAUGCAAGUCGAACGGAAAGGCCCUGCUUUUGUGGGGUGCUCGAGUGGCGAACGGGUGAGUAACACGUGAGUAACCUGCCCUUGACUUUGGGAUAACUUCAGGAAACUGGGGCUAAUACCGGAUAGGAGCUCCUGCUGCAUGGUGGGGGUUGGAAAGUUUCGGCGGUUGGGGAUGGACUCGCGGCUUAUCAGCUUGUUGGUGGGGUAGUGGCUUACCAAGGCUUUGACGGGUAGCCGGCCUGAGAGGGUGACCAGCCACAUUGGGAAUGAGAUACGGCCCAGACUCCUACGGGAGGCAGCAGUGGGGAAUAUUGCACAAUGGGCGGAAGCCUGAUGCAGCAACGCCGCGUGCGGGAUGACGGCCUUCGGGUUGUAAACCGCUUUCGCCUGUGACGAAGCGUGAGUGACGGUAAUGGGUAAAGAAGCACCGGCUAACUACGUG